ACGGGUGAGUAACGCGUGAGCAACCUGCCUUUCAGAGGGGGAUAACGUUUGGAAACGAACGCUAAUACCGCAUGAUAUUAUUGAGCUGCAUGGCUUGAUAAUCAAAGGAGCAAUCCGCUGAAAGAUGGGCUCGCGUCCGAUUAGGUAGUUGGCGGGGCAACGGCCCACCAAGCCGACGAUCGGUAGCCGGACUGAGAGGUUGAACGGCCACAUUGGGACUGAGACACGGCCCAGACUCCUACGGGAGGCAGCAGUGAGGGAUAUUGGUCAAUGGGGGAAACCCUGAACCAGCAACGCCGCGUGAGGGAAGACGGUUUUCGGAUUGUAAACCUCUGUCCUCUGUGAAGAUGAUGACGGUAGCAGAGGAGGAAGCUCCGGCUAACUACGUGCCAGCAGCCGCGGUAAUACGUAGGGAGCAAGCGUUGUCCGGAUUUACUGGGUGUAAAGGGUGCGUAGGCGGCUUUGCAAGUCAGAAGUGAAAUCCAUGGGCUUAACCCAUGAACUGCUUUUGAAACUGCAGAGCUUGAGUGGAGUAGAGGUAGGCGGAAUUCCCGGUGUAGCGGUGAAAUGCGUAGAGAUCGGGAGGAACACCAGUGGCGAAGGCGGCCUGCUGGGCUCUAACUGACGCUGAGGCACGAAAGCGUGGGUAGCAAACAGGAUUAGAUACCCUGGUAGUCCACGCUGUAAACGAUGAUUACUAGGUGUGGGUGGACUGACCCCAUCCGUGCCGGAGUUAACA
rnacentral:rRNA from 1 species